rfam:Providencia sneebia DSM 19967 chromosome, whole genome shotgun sequence.
GGUUAAGCGACUAAGCGUACACGGUGGAUGCCUAGGCAAUCAGAGGCGAUGAAGGACGUGCUAAUCUGCGAAAAGCGUCGGUAAGGUGAUAUGAACCGUUAUAACCGACGAUAUCCGAAUGGGGAAACCCAGUGCAAUCCGUUGCACUAUCGUUUGAUGAAUACAUAGUCAAACGAGGCGAACCGAGGGAACUGAAACAUCUCAGUACCUCGAGGAAAAGAAAUCAACCGAGAUUCCCCUAGUAGCGGCGAGCGAACGGGGAGCAGCCCAGAGUCUUAAUCAUAAGCCGCAUCAGGAGAAUGGUCUGGAAAGGCCAGCAGUAAAGGGUGAUAGCCCCGUAUCUGAAGAUGCUGUUUGUGUGAACUCGACGAGUAGGGCGGGACACGUGUUAUCCUGUCUGAAUAUGGGGGGACCAUCCUCCAAGGCUAAAUACUCCUGAUUGACCGAUAGUGAACCAGUACCGUGAGGGAAAGGCGAAAAGAACCCCGGCGAGGGGAGUGAAAUAGAACCUGAAACCGUGUACGUACAAGCAGUGGGAGCACCUUUAGAGGUGUGACUGCGUACCUUUUGUAUAAUGGGUCAGCGACUUAUAUUCUGUAGCAAGGUUAACCGUAUAGGGGAGCCGUAGGGAAACCGAGUCUUAACUGGGCGAAUAAGUUGCAGGGUAUAGACCCGAAACCCGGUGAUCUAGCCAUGGGCAGGUUGAAGGUUGGGUAACACUAACUGGAGGACCGAACCGACUAAUGUUGAAAAAUUAGCGGAUGACUUGUGGCUGGGGGUGAAAGGCCAAUCAAACCGGGAGAUAGCUGGUUCUCCCCGAAAGCUAUUUAGGUAGCGCCUCGUGAACUCAUCUUCGGGGGUAGAGCACUGUUUCGACUAGGGGGUCAUCCCGACUUACCAACUCGAUGCAAACUACGAAUACCGAAGAAUGUUAUCACGGGAGACACACGGCGGGUGCUAACGUUCGUCGUGAAGAGGGAAACAACCCAGACCGCCAGCUAAGGUCCCAAAGUCAUGGUUAAGUGGGAAACGAAGUGGGAAGGCUCAGACAGCCAGGAUGUUGGCUUAGAAGCAGCCAUCAUUUAAAGAAAGCGUAAUAGCUCACUGGUCGAGUCGGCCUGCGCGGAAGAUGUAACGGGGCUAAACCAUGCACCGAAGCUGCGGCAGCGACAUUUAGAUGUUGUUGGGUAGGGGAGCGUUCUGUAAGCCUGUGAAGGUGUGCUGUGAGGCAUGCUGGAGGUAUCAGAAGUGCGAAUGCUGACAUAAGUAACGAUAAUGCGGGUGAAAAACCCGCACGCCGGAAGACCAAGGGUUCCUGUCCAACGUUAAUCGGGGCAGGGUGAGUCGACCCCUAAGGCGAGGCAGAAAUGCGUAGUCGAUGGGCAACGGGUUAAUAUUCCCGUACUGGUGAUAAUUGCGAUGGGGGGACGGAGAAGGCUAGGCUGGCCGGGCGACGGUUGUCCCGGUUUAAAGAUGUAGGUGGGUGAAUUAGGCAAAUCCGGUUCACCAUACACUGAGGUCUGAUGACGAGUCACUACGGUGGCGAAGUAGCUCAUGCCCUGCUUCCAGGAAAAGCCUCUAAGCUCUAGAUUAUCAUCAAUCGUACCCCAAACCGACACAGGUGGUCAGGUAGAGAAUACUCAGGCGCUUGAGAGAACUCGGGUGAAGGAACUAGGCAAAAUGGUGCCGUAACUUCGGGAGAAGGCACGCUGGCAUUAGGUGAAGUCCCUYGCGGAUGGAGCUGAAGCCAGUCGCAGAUACCAGCUGGCUGCAACUGUUUAUUAAAAACACAGCACUGUGCAAACACGAAAGUGGACGUAUACGGUGUGACGCCUGCCCGGUGCUGGAAGGUUAAUUGAUGGGGUUAUCCGUAAGGAGAAGCUCUUGAUCGAAGCCCCAGUAAACGGCGGCCGUAACUAUAACGGUCCUAAGGUAGCGAAAUUCCUUGUCGGGUAAGUUCCGACCUGCACGAAUGGCGUAAUGAUGGCCAGGCUGUCUCCACCCGAGACUCAGUGAAAUUGAACUCGCUGUGAAGAUGCAGUGUACCCGCGGCAAGACGGAAAGACCCCGUGAACCUUUACUAUAGCUUGACACUGAACAUUGAGCCUUGAUGUGUAGGAUAGGUGGGAGGCUUUGAAGUGUGGACGCCAGUCUGCAUGGAGCCAACCUUGAAAUACCACCCUUUAAUGUUUGAUGUUCUAACGUYGUCCCGUUAUCCGGGAUGCGGACAGUGUCUGGUGGGUAGUUUGACUGGGGCGGUCUCCUCCCAAAGCGUAACGGAGGAGCACGAAGGUUGGCUAAGCAUGGUCGGACAUCAUGCGGUUAGUGCAAAGGCAUAAGCCAGCUUGACUGCGAGAGUGACAACUCGAGCAGGUACGAAAGUAGGUCUUAGUGAUCCGGUGGUUCUGAAUGGAAGGGCCAUCGCUCAACGGAUAAAAGGUACUCCGGGGAUAACAGGCUGAUACCGCCCAAGAGUUCAUAUCGACGGCGGUGUUUGGCACCUCGAUGUCGGCUCAUCACAUCCUGGGGCUGAAGUAGGUCCCAAGGGUAUGGCUGUUCGCCAUUUAAAGUGGUACGCGAGCUGGGUUUAGAACGUCGUGAGACAGUUCGGUCCCUAUCUGCCGUGGGCGUUGGAAGAUUGAAAGGGGCUGCUCCUAGUACGAGAGGACCGGAGUGGACGCACCACUGGUGUUCGGGUUGUCAUGCCAAUGGCAUUGCCCGGUAGCUAAGUGCGGAAGAGAUAACCGCUGAAAGCAUCUAAGCGGGAAACUUGCCUUGAGAUGAGUCUUCCCUGACYCUUUAAGGGUCCUAAAGGAACGUUUAAGACUAAGACGUUGAUAGGUUGGGUGUGUAAGCGUAGCGAUACGUUGAGCUAACCAAUACUAAUGAACCGUGAGGCUUAACCUG